UACGUAGGGUGCGAGCGUUGUCCGGAAUUACUGGGCGUAAAGAGCUCGUAGGUGGUUUGUCGCGUUGUUCGUGAAAACUCACAACUCAAUUGUGGGCGUGCGGGCGAUACGGGCAGACUGGAGUACUGCAGGGGAGACUGGAAUUCCUGGUGUAGCGGUGGAAUGCGCAGAUAUCAGGAGGAACACCCGUGGCGAAGGCGGUUCUCUGGGACGGUACUGACGCCGAGACGCGAAAGCGUGGGGAGCGAACAGG
rnacentral:rRNA from 1 species